rnacentral:piRNA from 1 species
UAGCAGGAAUUGUGUCCUGAGGUGUUGGA